GGGAAACCUCGCAUUCACGCAGAGGCAGUGAGUUCUCUGAUGCCAGGCUUUCGCGUUUAACCGGAGGGAGUAUGAAAGCUCAUGUCAAUAACCUAUGAGAAAAGUUUUCUGAUGUGGAAAAACUCCAUUUGUCAAGGAACAUCAUAAGAUGAUCGAAAUCUCCAGGAAAACGUAGGAGCGACUCUCUGUGAUGAGCGUGGGUGCAGUGAUGGACUACUUGGCUUGUUGGUGAACACUGAACUGAGGAGCG